rnacentral:lncRNA from 10 species
GGUCAACUGGGCUCAGUCUUCAAGGCCAGGAGCUCCACGGAGGCAUAUGAGGACCCGUUGUUCCCAGCAGGUUUCAACAGAUGGCAUGGAGCUUUCUAACUUUGGGUGAAUCUGACUUUCCACUGUGGCAGCCCUCAAUGACAGCUAUGCCCCGCAACACUGCCUGAAGCCUGCAGAAUCCAGGCUUUGGGGUUCACACCCUCACGAUAACCUGCCUGGCACAGGGCAUCUUUCCCAGUGCACCAAUUCCCUGUCUGAUGGAGAGGACAUUCUUCUGCAAAAGGGAGUGCUGGUCCAGCAGCAGAGGCAGCUUCAUCCUGGGGCCUACAGAGUGUGCUGACCCUCUUGCCUAACAAGUCCACAAGCAGUGAGCAGGGAGAAAAAAUUCUUAUUCCUUUGUCGUUCUGAGAGUUCCCCCAGUGACGUCCAUUUUCUUCCCCCUCCCACCUGGCUCUGACUGUGAUCUUCCCCACUAUCUCAGGGCGCGUAUUGGUGGGGGCAUGACUGGCAUGCCAAGAUACUCCUUGGUCUCUUCAUGAGCUCCAAGGGGCCUUGAAUCCUUCUUUGUGACCGGUGGUCUACCAUCUGAUGCUAAUCCACACUGCUGUCUUUCUGCCUGCCUUCCUCCCUCCCGGCUCCCUCCCUCUCUCCUUCCGGUCUUCCACACAUAUUUACUGAGCAUCUACUAUGUUCCAGGUGCUUUGGAUACAUCGGAGGACAAAACAGACAGAGAUGCUUGCCUUUUUUGGCUUGUAUUCUUGUUGAGAGAAAAGAGACAAUAAAUGGUAGACCUAAUUUAAUCCUAAAUUAUGGGGUGCUAUGGCUUGGAUGUUUGUCCCUUCCAAACCUCAUGUUGAAAUUUGAUCCCAAAGUUGAAGGUGGAGCCAAAUGUGAGGUGUUUGGGUCAUGAGGGCAGGUCCUUCAAGAAGAGGUCAAUGUUCUCCCUCCCAGAUGAGUGAGUUCUUACUCUCUUCGUUUACACAAGAGCUGGUUGUUGAAGAGCCUGGCACCUCCCCUUCUCUCUUGCUUCCUUUCUCACCAAGAGAUCUCUGCAAAGGCUGGCUCCCCUUUGCCUUCUGCCAUGAGUGGAAGCAGCCAAAGCCCCUCACCAGAUGCAGACGUGCAAUUUCAAACUUUCCAGCCUUCAGAAUUGUGAGCUAAAUAAACUUCUUCUCUUUAUAAAUUGCCCAGUCUCAGGUGUUCUGUUAUAGCAACACAAACUAAGACACAUGGUAUGUUGGCAGGUGACAAGCACUGGGGAAAAAGUAAUGAAGAGGAAUAGGGCAGGGGAGCCUGGCAGUGCUGGGAUGAUGGACUUGGGUGAUAGGAGACAGA